CACAAAAAAAUUAUCCCAGAUUAGCAUAUUUACAUAUUAUACAAAGGAAGAAACUGUGCAGAUUUCAGGUCUGUCUGAUAAGUGACAGAGUGUGAUGAGGCGUCCAAUCAAAACACUGGACAGCGUAAAGGUGAAGAACAGCGUUUCCUCCAUCAGGUCCAUUAUUUUGUAUAUCAGCUGUGUACUAUGACUCUUAUACCACGGCCACUUACUGAAGAAUAUAAAGGCAGCGUGUGUUUUCAUCAUUAGCAGCUUUUACACUUUGUUUGUUGUCAUUUUACUCAUGUGAUGUGUGUGAAGCAUCAAAGUUGUUGCUAUGGUUACCUGCUGGUAUGUUUGAUGUGCUCUGAUGGACAGUUUUAUUACCUGCCAGCCAAUGGGAAACUGGUAUUUUCUGUGUCCGUGGUAUAAAGUUGAAUUCUAACAGU